UGGCAAGGUGCUAAUGUUCUGUCAAAAGGAGAUUGUAAAAAGAUUAUCAGUUGAAAAGUUUAUUAUGAAAGUAUUAUUAUAAACGAGGAGAUUUAUAGUCGAUAGUAAACUACUCUAGUAAUUUCGAAUAAAGUUAACACGUAUAGAAGACCCAAUCAACGUAUUGCCCUUCUUACGCUAUCGCAUCGACAUUGUCCUUUAGUUUCCUGACUUUCACGUACUAUGUGUCUAAAAUAUGUAUACAUAUGUACAUAUGAAUAUAGUUCGAAAUAAGUAUUUAGCGACUUUUAAGUUCUUUGUUACUUAUUAAAGGAUGGAAACAGUGCGAUCUUGUGGUUGCAAGGGAAUAAGAUCUUGUCUUCUCUGCGAAACUGAACAUAAGAUUGUGAAACCCAAUCUUAAGACUCAUUUUGAGAAAUGUUCUAGUUAUGUAUAUUGUCCGAACUGUGACAAAUCGUGGCCUGGUUGGGAUGCUGAUCUUUACAAAAAUCAUCCGUAUCAUCAAGGAACUGCCAUAGAAUUUCCUGGUGUAUAUAUAAAGCUAGAUUUUCUAAAUCCUUGGGAAAUUAAUUCAUUGAAGAACGCGCUUGAAAAAAUACCUUGGGAAGUUUCUCAGAGUGGAAGAAGAAAACAGAAUUUUGGUCCAAAAUGCAACUUCAAGAAAAGAAAGCUUCAGUUGGGUUCCUUUGAUGGUUUUCCAAAGUCUACUCAAUUUGUGCAACAAAAAUUUUGCCAAGUACCCAUGCUUAAUAAUUUCCAAACGGUAGAACAAUGUACUUUAGAGUAUGAUCCGCUACGAGGAGCUUCGAUAGAUCCACAUAUCGAUGACUGCUGGAUUUGGGGUGAAAGAAUAGUUACUGUGAAUGUCAUGGGUAACUCAGUUUUAACAAUGAGUCCUUACCAUGGUCCAGAUACAAAAUAUAAUUUAGAAAGCGUUGCAGAGUAUUCCACUAUACUCGAAGGCUUCGAAUUUGAUACAAAUGAUAAAAAUGAAAGUAAUAAAGAUAUCGUUGUAAGGCUGCCAAUGCCAGAGGGAUCGCUUAUGAUUCUUUAUGAUAGUGCAAGGUAUAAAUGGGAACAUUGUGUUUUAAGAGAAGAUAUAACUUCUAAGCGAAUUUGUUUGGCUUAUCGCGAAUUAACUCCUCCAUAUUUAUGCACCUCAACAAAUAAUGAAAUAGUCAAAGAACUCUUAAAGAGAGCUUCGGUCUUUCAAUGAAGUGUGACUAAGGAAUAAAUAUAAUAAAUACUAACCUGAAUAAGAGCAAUGGCUACAGCUCCAGUACCAAUAUAAAGGGCACUCCUGUGAAUGAUAAUUGAAAGAUGUUUGAUACAUCCAGUUACAUAAAUAUUUUCAUUAUCUCUCGAAGGACAAGAUGAAGGAAUAGUCAUUUCUUGUGCUUCCCAAUCCUCGUAUCCAUUGUAUCCACAACAAUAGAGCUGUUGAAUAAUAUAUUCUAUUAUAAAAUCAAUGGCACUCCUAGCUUCGUCAUUUUUUUCAUAUUGAUGCAUGGUCGCAUUAAUUUUGUCAGCAAGAAGAUUUUUUAUUCCAUCUUGAAGAGCAUAAGCUGCAAUCCCAGCGAUCAG